rnacentral:rRNA from 1 species
UACGUAGGUGGCAAGCGUUGUCCGGAAUUAUUGGGCGUAAAGCGCGCGCAGGUGGUUUCUUAAGUCUGAUGUGAAAGCCCACGGCUCAACCGUGGAGGGUCAUUGGAAACUGGGGAACUUGAGUGCAGGAGAGAAGAGUGGAAUUCCACGUGUAGCGGUGAAAUGCGUAGAGACGUGGAGGAACACCAGUGGCGAAGGCGACUCUUUGGCCUGUAACUGACACUGAGGCGCGAAAGCGUGGGGAGCAAACAGG